rnacentral:lncRNA from 1 species
AUGUUAAUUAUAUUACAAUUUACAUAAUUUAGAAACAACACUUUGAAGAUUUAUUCAUAAUGAAGUUAUUUCUUCUCACUAUGAUUAGCAAAACUUGUGAUGAGUUAUUGUACUUUAACGUUGGAAAAAUAAACGCUAUUAGAUACAAGGUUUUUUUAGAGAAAGGAAUUAUGAAAUUGUGUAAACAUAUUACCGAAAAUAACUGAUAUAAACGGCACGACAAAUUGUUCAGUGCUUUUAUCAAUAGGUAUUUCAGACUAAUCAUCAGUAGAAAUGUAAAGACAGCUAUGGGAGAAAUUUUUGUGAGAUGCAUUGGAAAUUGGAGCGCAAGGGCCUUUAAAAAAUAAUACAUCACCUGAAUUGAACGUAAAUGUUAACAAAAAUUUGAUCACGAACGUUUGUAAAUCUAUUACGUUGUGUACGAAUGUAGUCCCUAGUGCAAACACUGUAACUUGCAUUUUUUUCAUAUAUUUCCUUACUUUAUUUCUUGAUAUUUAAUGCGUUAAAUAUUAAGUAGGGGGAUAAAAUUACAUGUUUAAACAAAUUGUGUGCUGAAUCUUCAUGUUAAUAUAAGUAGUGAUUUGGUCUAGUUAAAAAAGGUCAAACAUUAGUAUGUCUGACACUGUCAAACUGAAUUUUAGACCCCCUUAAC